rnacentral:rRNA from 1 species
AAUGACUGCUAAUACCGCAUAAGCCUACAGAGUCGCAUGACUCAGCAGGAAAAAUUCUGGUGGUACAGGAUGGGCCCGCGUCUGAUUAGCUAGUUGGUGAGGUAAUGGCUCACCAAGGCGACGAUCAGUAGCCGGCUUGAGAGAGUGAACGGCCACAUUGGGACUGAAACACGGCCCAAACUCCUACGGGAGGCAGCAGUGGGGAAUAUUGCACAAUGGGGGAAACCCUGAUGCAGCAACGCCGCGUGAGUGAAGAAGUAUUUCGGUAUGUAAAGCUCUAUCAGCAGGGAAGAAAAUGACGGUACCUGACUAAGAAGCACCGGCUAAAUACGUGCCAGCAGCCGCGGUAAUACGUAUGGUGCAAGCGUUAUCCGGAUUUACUGGGUGUAAAGGGAGCGCAGGCGGUCUGGCAAGUCUGAUGUGAAAAUCCGGGGCUCAACUCCGGAACUGCAUUGGAAACUGUCAGACUAGAGUGUCGGACAGGUAAGUGGAAUUCCUAGUGUAGCGGUGAAAUGCGUACAUAUUAGGAGGAACACCAGUGGCGAAGGCGGCUUACUGGACGAUAACUGACGCUGAGGCUCGAAAGC